CAUCACAGUCAAUCGGAUCUCGGUGGCGAGGCUUGAUGAGCUUUGGGAGAGGCAGCUGAAGGUGGACUUCCCUGAAACUCUGCAGGAUGAACAACCUGGGCUGUUAAGGGAGGAUGAACGCUUCAUUGAGUUAGUCUCCGAAUCAGCCAAGCUCAUUGAUGGUCAUUACAGUAUUGGUUUGCCGGUAAGACAAAGAUACCUCAAAAUGCCAAAUAAUAAGACCGUUGUAGAACAGCGUGCAUUGAGUCUUAAAAGACGUUUGAAUAAAGAUCCAUCUUUUCGUUCCGAUUACAUCACAUUUAUGUCCAGGAUGCUGUCUAAUGGCUAUGCAGAAAGAAUUCCAUCGGAGCAGCUGGCCCGGUGUGAUGGAAGGGUGUGGUAUAUACCCCAUCAUGGAGUGUAUCAUCAUAAAAAGAAAAAAUUGCGGGUAGUUUUUGAUUGUGGGGCCUCGUUUCAGGGGACGUCUUUGAACUCACAGCUUCUUCAAGGACCAGAUCUCACAAAUCUGUUAGUGGGAGUCCUCACAAGAUUCCGCAAGGAGCCCGUGGUGCUCAUGGCAGAUAUUGAGGCCAUGUAUCAUCAGGUCAGGGUGCCGGCUGAAGAUACUGAUUUGUUGAGAUUUCUGUGGUGGCCUGAUGGAGAUUGCAGUCGAGAGCUAACGGAGUACAGAAUGGUGGCACAUCUGUUCGGCGCUACUUCCUCUCCUAGUUGUGCCUGUUUCGCCCUGAGGAAGUGUGCUGAAGACAAUCAAAAGUGCUUCAGUCCCAUGGCAGUUAACACUGUUCUGCACCAUUUCUACGUAGAUGAUUGUUUGGUGUCUGUCGGCUCUGAGGAGGAAGCAAUAUCUUUAUGUCGAGAGCUUAGUGCCUUGUGUGCUGAAGGCGGUUUUAAGCUUACAAAAUGGACUAGUAACCGACGCACUGUUCUCGCUACUAUUCCGCGCCAAAGAGGUGAAAGAUCUGAAUUUGAAUGCCGAUGCUUUGCCUGUGGAGCAUGCCCUGGGUGUACAGUGGUGUGUCCAAUCUGACUCAUUCAAAUUUAAAAUCAUACUUAAAACCCACCCACUCACAAGGAGAGGAAUCUUGUCUGUGACUAGUUCAAUUUACGACCCUCUUGGUUUCUUGGCGCCUGUUGUUUUAUCCGCCAAGAAAAUCCUCCAAGAUCUUUGCAGGAGACGUCUGGGAUGGGAUGAUCCUUUGCCCUCGGCUUGGCUGGAAGACCUUCAUGGUCUUGAAAAUUGGGAGGUCAGUAGGUGUUUAAAACCUGUGGACUGUGGUCGUCUUGUCUCUGCUCAGCUCCACCACUUUGCAGAUGCAAGUGAAGAAGGGUUUGGGACUGUGACUUACCUGUUAGUCCAUGAUGAUAGCGGGUGUACUCACAGUGCAUUUGUAAUGGGAAAGGCACGAGUAGCUCCUCUAAAACUUGUCACUAUUCCCCGCAUGGAUCUGACUGCUGCAGUGGUGGCUAGCAGAAUGGACAAAUUGUGGAGGAAGGAGCUUCAAAUGGACCUUCAAGAGUCUGUCUUUUGGACGGACAGCACUUCUGUUUUGAAAUAUAUAAAGAACGAGAAGUCCAGAUUUAAAAUCUUCAUAGCAAACAGAGUGUCUGAAAUAUUGAAAAUGUCUAACGUAUCCCAAUGGAGGUACGUGAACACAUUAAACAACCCUGCGGAUCUAGCCUCCAGAGGUGUUAAAGUUCAGUUAUUGUUAAAGACUGGUGCAUGGCUCUGUGGUCCUGAUUUUCUUCACGAGCACGAGAGCAGGUGGCCUGAAAACCCUGAGACCAUGGAAAACUCUCUUGUUGAUGACCCGGAGGUCAAGGUUGUGAUGGUGAACGCUGCUCAGGUUGAGCAGGACAGUCCAUUGGAGAAGCUCAUUGAUUACUUUUCCUCCUGGCACCGUCUAAAAAGAGCUGUCGGUUGGUUUCUCAAGUUUAAGACCUUGCUUUUCUCUCUGGUGCGACAUCGAAAGCUGCUGAGAAAAACCCUGUCAGAAUUGGACCAAAGUGCUGAACAGUUGGAAAGAGAGCUACAGGUCCGAAUGGAGGAAGUCAGGGCUCAAGUGCCAAUGGGUGUCCUGUCCGUGGAUGAUAUGGUUGUAGCUGAGUCAGAUAUUAUCCGUUUUUGUCAGAAAAUAAGGUUUCCAGAAGAGUUGGCCAACUUGAAGAAAGGAGAGUGUGUAAGAAAGACAAGUCACCUCUACAAGCUUAACCCGAUUCUGGAUGGUGAUCUCAUUAGAAUUGGAGGAAGGCUUAGUAGAGCAGCUAUGCCGGUUGAAGCAAAACAUCCCGUUAUCCUGGCUAAAGAUGAACAUGUCUCCACUCUCUUUCUCCGUCAUGUACACCAGGAAACAGGUCAUGGUGGGCGUAACCACAUGCUUUCUCAUCUGCGUCAGAAGUAUUGGGUUCCUGGUGCUUGUGCUGCCAUCAGAAAAGUUUUGACUAAGUGCGUCAUCUGUCGUAGAUUGUCUGCUUCACCUGGACAUCAGAAAAUGGCCGACCUUCCUCAGAACAGAAUAACUCCUGAUGAACCGCCAUUCAGUCGAGUUGGUUUGGACUGCUUUGGACCGUUUGAGGUUAAACGUGGAAGGGCUGUGGUCAAGAGGUAUGGGUUAAUUUUUACAUGCUUGGCGAUGAGAGCUAUACACCUCGAAGUUCUUUCAUCUUUAGACACAGACUCCUUCAUCAAUGGUUUCAGAAGAUUUGUGGCGAGACGUGGUCAAGUCCUAGAAAUCCGUUCGGAUAAUGGUACUAACUUUGUGGGCGCUGAACGUGAAUUGAGGAAGGCCAUUGAGAAUUUGAAUCACAACCUCAUAAAUGACAUAUUGCUACAAAAGAGUGUGAAAUGGGUUUUUAAUCCUCCAGCAGCAUCACACCAUGGAGGUGCUUGGGAAAGGCUGAUAAGGUCAGUCCGUAAAGUGCUAAACUCCAUUUUGAAGACUCAGACCUUGGACGAAGAAAGCUUGGUGACAGUGUUUUGUGAAGCUGAAGCGAUUGUCAAUGGCCGUCCAUUAACGAAAGCGUCGACAGAUCCUCAAGAUUUGGAGGCAUUGACCCCUAACCAUCUUCUUCUGCUUAAAUCGCAGCCGUUGUUGCCUCCAGGGUUGUUCGAGAAGGAGGACGUUUAUGCUCGUCGUCGCUGGAAACAAGUACAGUAUAUGUCGGACUUGUUCUGGAAGCGCUGGGUGAAGGAGUACCUUCCUGGACUUCAGGAGCGCCAGAAGUGGAAUACUGUCAAAAGAAACUUUGUUCCAGGAGAUCUCGUGGUGCUGGUGGAUGAUAUGGCACCUCACAAUACUUGGAUUAUAGGAAGAAUUGUGGAUACUGUUCCGGACAAAAAUGGACUGGUGCGAAGUGUACGGAUUAAAACCAGCUAUUUGAAUAGGCCAAUAACCUAAGUCUGCCUUCAGCAGGAAGUAGAGGGGCAGUGAAGAUCUUCAGAUAUAAUAUACCUGAACUUUGACAUUAUUGGACUUUAAAGGACUAACAGUUAGCUUUGCAUUUUUUGACUGCGGUCUGUCUCCCACAAGGUAAUGGUGAUCAAUUAUUACUUUGAGAUAAUUUGGGGCCGGAAUGUAGGAGCCACACAUUGGGUUUGACUUCAUUUCUUCUUGUACUGCUGUGUAUGUGCACACGCAUUGUGACGUCAUUACUGUGGGUGGCACCGGGGGUGUGGUGUCUACAUUAGUGCGUUCACCUGGGAGGUUAUGGAGCAUGGCUGCAGGGUGAGCAUGGGAAGAAACUUUUUAUUGACCGUCACCAUCGUCACCAUCGUCACCAUCACAUGCAUUAUAUGAAGUAUCUUUGCACGGUUUUUAUGAGUACAUCAAUAACCGUAAGUACCUAUGUUUUUUAAAGCUUGUGAAGGAGAGAAAUAAAGACAUCAUACCAUCAUGUGCAAUGGUUCAGCGUGACGCGUCUUCAAUCGUAAAUUCUCAUGUUUCAGCCUGCUGCGGCGUUUGGUUUAGUUUUGUGUAAAAUACGCCGCAAUAGUUACAAUGCAGUAGUUGAGUUAAUGCAGUUAUUGAAGUUAUAGUGCAAUAGAUGAGUAGAUGCAGUUAUUGAAGUUACAGUGCAGUAGAUGAGUUAAUGCAGUUAUGAAAGUAUUCCAUUAGUGCAAAUGAGCAUUCAGUAUAAUAUUCCUGGUGAGCAAGUGAGCAGUAUAGAGUGCAAAUGAUGCUAUGGUGUGUAAACAGUCCGGUGGAGCAGAUAACAUGAAGUACUGGUGUGUACAGUUCAGUCAUGCAUGGCAGCCAUGUAGUGCAAUGUAAACAAUGUAAUAGCAGCAUUGAAGUUAAAGUUAUGAGGGGUGGUGGAAUCAGUGGGGGGUAGAGUUCAAUAAUGAAACAGCUCUGGGAAAAAAGCUGUUUCCUAGUCUGCUGGUUCUUCUCUGGAGGCACCUGAAGCGCCUACCGGAAGGUAGGAGAGUAAACAGUCUAUGAGCGGGGUUAGAGGAGUCCUUGAGAAUGCUGCGAGCUCGACGCAGACAGCGUUUCUUUUGGAUGUCCUCAAUGGAAGAGAGUGUAGUCCCUGUGAUGUGCUGGGCUGUUUUCACCAUCCGCUGCAGUGCCUUGCGUUCAGCAACAGAACAGUUCCCGUACCAGACUGUGACACAGUUGGUCAGGAUGCUCUCUAUCGUGCAGCGAUAGAAGUUCACCAGGAUAGUUGAAGACAGAAAGAAGAGACGCUGGUGAGCCUUCUUGACCAGGCAUGGGGUGUUGGUGGUCCAGGACAGGUCCUCCGAAAUAUGAGUCCCCAGGAACUUAAAACUGGAAACACGUUCAACAGCCAUCCCAUUAAUGUGGAUGGGGCUGUGUGUGCCUCCUUUCGCCUUCCUGAAGUCCACGAUGAUCUCCUUUGUCUUGGAGGUGUUAAGGAGUAGUUUGUUGUUUGAGUACCAUGUGGCCAGGUGCCGGACCUCCUCCCAGUAAGCAGUGUCAUCGUUGCUGCUGAUGAGACCAAUCACUGUUGUAUCAUCUGCAAACUUGAUGAAGGAGUUAGGUCAAUUCACAGGCCUGCAGUCAAGUGUGAAAAGGGAUUAGAGAAAGGGGCUCAGUACGCAUCCCUGUGGUACACCAGUGUUGAGGGUGAUGGUGGUGGAGCAGAUGUGGCCUACCCUAACCAGCUGAGGCCUGUUCGUCAAGAAAUCCAUAAUCCAGUUGCAGGUUGAGUUGUUAAUGCCUAGGUUUCCAAGUUUGAUGAUUAGUUUGGUGGGGGUCCAGGGUGGGGUCCAGAUGGACUACAAGCUCGCCAUCUAUGGGGUGGGUUGGAGCUUGAGAGCUCUGACCCCACAACAAUUGAUCUCGCUCUGGCUCACCCUGAACAUCAUAAAGGAAGUCCUCUGGACCACCAGAAACCUGCUGGUAGGAAAACAGGUUAUGGUGCCCCUCCACGCCUGCGAGCAGAUGGUGACAUCUAAGCUGCAGGGGCACUGGGCUUUGUCAUUCGGAGGAGGGGCCUGGGGUCACGCUUAGGAUCCCGGCCUUGCCCCCGCACCUGGUCGCCCGUAGAUGCACCCUCACCAAUCUGGCUACGGGAACAGCGGGCCAGCAGGCCGGAGGGAGAGGAUUUCCGCUCGGCGUCAGAAGCAGAAGGAAAUUGACUUGUUCUGCAGAGCGGGGUGAUGGCCAUCUUGUCAGGGACUCCUUCCGGUUCUGGACAAAUGAUGACGAGAGACAGAGUUUUUUUCCCUCUCUGACCUUCUCUCAUUUUAAUGAUUUUAAUUCAGUUCAAUUCAGGUUUUUUUGUAUAGCGCUUUUCACAAUGUGUGAAAAGCUUUCAAAGCGGAAUCUUUCAAAGCAGCUUUACAGGGGCAAACAGGAAAAACAGAAAAGUCCCGGAUUGGACAAUUCUCCCGGAAAAGCACGCGGCACUCCCACGCGGCAGCAUGGAGAGCAGAAGAAGGAUGUCAAGACGUCACUUUCACUUGUGUGCAGGAGAGAGAGCAUGAGUUCAGGUGUUUGUUUGUUCACUGCAUUUGGGUGAUGAAUGUUAUAUAAACGGAGUAUAUAACGCUGGAUUUGGAGAUCAUUUGAAACUGAUAUAUGGAGCCGUCCCAGCGCUAAAAGAUGCCGGACAUGAACUGCAUGUGCUUUCUUUGAACUAUCCACUAAGUUUUUUGGCCAUACCACAUCCUGUUCAUCUAGACAGCAUUUGAAUAUGGUAUGCAGUUGUUGAGUUUUACCAUUUUGUAAGGUUAGUGAGUGUCUACUCUGUGGGUUGAACAGAUA